CCUACGGGAGGCAGCAGUGGGGAAUAUUGGGCAAUGGGCGCAAGCCUGACCCAGCAACGCCGCGUGAAGGAAGAAGGCUUUCGGGUUGUAAACUUCUAUUAAGAGGGAAGAGCAGAAGACGGGACCGCUGGAAUAAGCCAAGGCUAACUACGGGCCAGCAGCCGCGGUAAUACGUAGGUGGCAAGCGUUGUCCGGAUUUACGGGGUGGAAAGGGCGUGGAGCCGGGCUGACAAGUCAGAUGUGAAAUCCGGGGGCUCAACCCCCGAACUGCAUUUGAAACUGUUGGUCUUGAGUAUCGGAGAGGCAGGCGGUAUUCCUAGUGUAGCGGUGAAAUGCGUAGAUAUUAGGAGGAACCCCAGUGGCGAAGGCGGCCUGCUGGACGACACCUGACGGUGAGGCGC
rnacentral:rRNA from 1 species